rnacentral:rRNA from 1 species
AUAUGCACGGCCAGAUUGUUCCAAGAAGCUGGCGAUCUGGAGAAAGAUGUUGACCAUCUCAAACGCCAGGCCGUGGCGCAGCGGAGCCUCCUCCAACAUCUCACAAACAACCUGUACUCCUCAAUAAUACCCGAGAAUUCAACAAUUGAUCCAUCACCCAGCAGUAUCACCGACACCGCCGUCGAUCCAUUGGACGUUCUUCUAUCCGAGCACAGGAUGGACCAAGCCCUUGAGCUCCUUGAAGCGGAAGGACAAGCGCUGGAGAAACUGCACGGCGACGACGCACAGAUGAUCACGUCGAGCAUGUCCGCGCUGUCGGCCCGGAGAGCCAGAGUCGCCGAGCGCUUCACCGCUCUCGCCGACAACCGGCGGACGCCACGGCACGAGCUCCUCCAGGCGCUCUCCGGCCUCUGCAGCCUCGGUGACGGCCAACGGGCUAACCAGCUCCUCUUCAAGUUCUACAGCUCAGGAGGUGCCCUCCGGCGCGUCGAGGAGCUGAGGUCAUCAUCACACAGGAACUGCAUCGGGGAGCUGGCGCACAAGGUCUUCUCCUCCAUCCUCGAGGCGUCGAGGAGCUUCGUCGCGCUGCACGGGCCGACACCGUCCCCCGAGCUCAGCCGGUGGGCGAGGGGGGAAAUUGAUGACUUUGUCGCCACGUUCCGCGACUACUUCGGAUCCGUAUCAGAAGCCGAGGCCGGCGACGGGCUGGCACUGGCGACCGAAGCCGCCAACUGCGCCGUCUCCUACUCUUCCAUGCUCGGCACGGUCGUCUCGGUGGAAGAUGUCAAGGCAUUGAUUCGGCCUUGCAUGGAGGAGCUGCUGUCAACGUAUGCCAAGCAUCUGGAGAAGGUCGUCAGGUUGUUGGUUUGCUCUGACGCGUGGGUGCUGGGGAGGUUCCUCAGGUCAGGAGUCCUACGGCUACCUGCCGCUACCGGUGGUGGGGGCGAAACUGAACACUGCUUGCUCACGGCCAGUGGAAGGAAAUUUGUCACGUUGAUGCAGGAGGUUGUGGAGGACGUGUCCCCGUUGCUGCGCCUUGGGAUGAAGAGCUCAGUGCUGCAGCUCCUGGCCGGGUUGUUCAGAGACUACAUGCACUCCAUCCUAGCUGUCGAUGCAGUCGACCAGCAGCAGCAGUACAUGUGGCAGCUCUCCUUCCUCAUCAACUGCACCACGCUGGUCUCCUUGUUUCCGAUCAUCGCCCACGGUGUCUUCAUCAAGAGCAACAACCAAGCGUCGCUGUCGCAAACGGAACCAGAACUCCACGGUUUGACCGUGUUCAUCAAGGAAGCAUCCGGCCAAGUAUGGACACACUUCUGCCAGCAGUUCAUACGAGACACCACGUCGACUCUGCAUGACAAACCAGUCGACAAACCAACAUCGACAGCGACAAGCUUCCUGCCCAUGAUGCCUUGUUCUGCAUUCCAGAUGGUGUUCCUGCGGGUGAGACAGUUGAGUGAUCUGUAUGGCACCAUCUUGGCCGGCAAAGACGGGACCAUGAGAAAACUGCUGCAGGAGUUGAUGGAGACCAUGAUAAUCUGGCUCGGGAGCAACCUAGAUCCCUGGAUCCAUCACGCUCAGAAUCUACCAAAGGACACACUUCUUCAUCAGGUUAGUUGA